AUGAUCAAUCUUGGCAAGUGUGUUGCAUACAAAAUAAGAUGCACAGACCCUGAGCACGCAGAGAUUCUAAUGGAGUUUGGAGGUGCUGAAGGAAACCUACCCUGUCGAUACCUGGGUUUGCCCCUAAACACUAGGAAGCCAAGAAGGGUUGAAAUUCAGCCGAUUCUGGACAAAGCCAGUGCAAGAAUUAAACCAUGGAAGGGCAAACUCAUGAAUAGAGCAGGGAGGUUGGAUUUGGUAAACUCUGUUUUGAUGGCCAUCGCAACCUAUUACCUGACUUGCUUUGCUGCGGACAAGUGGGCAGUUAAAAAACUGGACAAGAGUAGAAGAAAUUUUCUCUGGGCUGGAGAAGAGGAGGCACAUGGAGGAAAAUGUAUGGUCAACUGGAAACAAUGUUGUUCGCCAAAAAAACUUGGAGGCCUAGGGAUCAAAGACAUUGCCCUCUUUAGCAGAUCGCUACGUCUUCGGUGGCUUUGGUAUGAGUGGGACUCACUGCAACGCCCAUGGAAAGGAACUCCAGUACCAUGUGACCAAAUAGAUAGAAAACUCUUUGCGGCUUGCACAGAGAUUACCAUUGGUAAUGGACAAACUGCACUUUUUUGGCAUGAUAGAUGGCUGCAGGGUAAUGCCCCUAAAGAUAUUGCACCAUAG
rnacentral:rRNA from 1 species